UACGUAGGGGGCAAGCGUUAUCCGGAUUUACUGGGUGUAAAGGGAGCGUAGACGGCGGUGCAAGCCAGAUGUGAAAGCCCGGGGCUCAACCCCGGGACUGCAUUUGGAACUGUGCUGCUAGAGUGUCGGAGAGGCAGGCGGAAUUCCUGGUGUAGCGGUGAAAUGCGUAGAUAUUAGGAGGAACACCAGUGGCGAAGGCGGCCUGCUGGACGAUGACUGACGUUGAGGCUCGAAAGCGUGGGGAGCAAACAGG
rnacentral:rRNA from 1 species